rnacentral:lncRNA from 1 species
UUCUAGGUAAAUCAGAAAGUAAAUAAACACUAUUAUCUACACAAAUUGAUUCUCUCCCUCUCCAAACACUUCUCCAAUGAAAGGGACAUGGACUGCUACUUAAUGUUACAUGGGUUCUUGGGGAAUUCUAGAAAGAAAAAGAAAAGAAGAAGGACCACUUCUGUGUAGAACCUAAUAAUUGGCAUUAACAUUAAGGAUUAUUAGUUAGUAAUGCUGCAAUGGGUGACCACAAAAAUUGAAAUCUGUACCUUCCUCAUUCUCUGCUUCAUUCCAGAGUCAGAACACAAAGACGUGGGUGCAUGGUUUCUUCAAACAGCAUUAUUGGCUCAUGCAAUCUAACAGGAAACCCACUUCUCUUCUUGUAAUGUUUUUUCUU